UGUUAUGUGGCUUAGUUGGAUAAAGCGCCGGUCUAGCGAAUACGGAGUCGUGGGUUCGAAUCCCACCGCGACGC
rnacentral:tRNA from 1 species